rnacentral:lncRNA from 1 species
UGUUCCCCCCGUGUCGCUGUUCCCCCCGUGUCGCUGUUCCCCCCGUGUCGCUGUUCCCCCCGUGUCGCUGUUCCCCCCGUGUCGCUGUUCCCCCCGUGUCGCUGUUCCCCCCGUGUCGCUGUUCCCCCCGUGUCGCUGUUCCCCCCGUGUCGCUGUUCCCCCCGUGUCGCUGUUCCCCCCGUGUCGCUGUUCCCCCCGUGUCGCUGUUCCCCCCGUGUCGCUGUUCCCCCCGUGUCGCUGUUCCCCCCGUGUC